GUGAGGAAUAUUGCUCAAUGGGCGAAAGCCUGAAGCAGCGACGCCGCGUGAGGGAUGAAAUCCGUUAGGAUGUAAACCUCUUUUGCGAGGGAAGAAUAUCCCCCUAUGGGGGAGGUGACUGUACCUCGUGAAUAAGCACCGGCCAACUACGUGCCAGCAGCCGCGGUAAUACGUAGGGUGCAAGCGUUGUCCGGAAUUACUGGGUGUAAAGGGUCCGCAGGCGGGCAAGCAAGUCGGUGGUGAAAGUUCACGGCUCAACCGUGAAAUUGCCUUCGAUACUGCUUGUCUUGAGUUCGAGAGAGGAUAAUGGAAUUCAUGGUGUAGCGGUGAAAUGUGUAGAGAUCAUGAAGAACACCGGUAGCGAAGGCGGUUAUCUGGCUCGAAACUGACGCUCAGGGACGAAAGCGUGGGUAGCAAACAGGAUUAGAUACCCGGGUAGUCC
rnacentral:rRNA from 1 species